GUAGUAACUUCGCUGGGUUUUACUUGCGAUUUUCGGCUCACUCGUCAAUUCUUUGGCACCGAUAUGGCCACAGGGAGGCUCAAGAUUGAGUUCUGAGUAGGAAAGGGGAAAAUUUUACCUUUUUCAUCGGUCGACGGUGGCUGUGGUGCGGUGGCAGUGACGUCCCUCCAACGGCUGGUCUUCCCUCCGGCCACCUCCUUAUUCUUCUUCUCCAGCCGGGUGUCGGCUAGGGUUUGGGACCGACCGAAGAGUGGUUUAAAUACCUCUCUUCCCUCUGAUCCAAGUCGUCUAUUUGUGUUGACGUGAAACAAGAAGAAUCAUCUGAUCAUUACCUAUUUAGGUCGAUUGCGUGGGCGAAUAUAAGCCAUUCAUCAUGAUUGAUCUUAUCCUUCGAUCGCGUCUAAAGAGAGAAUGCAUAUGAGUCGUCUGUGCGUGCGGGACAUGAUCGGGACUGUCAGAUUGCCAAGCACGCGGAUCACCUG
rnacentral:lncRNA from 1 species